GAUGAAGAACGUAGCGAAAUGCGAUAAGUAAUGUGAAUUGCAGAAUUCAGUGAAUCAUCGAAUCUUUGAACGCACAUUGUGCCCCCUGGUAUUCCGGGGGGCAUGCCUGUCCGAGCGUCAUUACAACCCUCAAGCUCAGCUUGGUGUUGGGCCCCGCCGCCCCGGCGGGCCCUAAAGUCAGUGGCGGUGCCGCCCGGCUCCGAGCGUAGUAAUUCUUCUCGCUCUGGAGGUCCGGUCGUGUGCUCGCCAGCAACCCCCAAUUUUUUUCAGGUUGACCUCGGAUCAGGUAGGGAUACCCGCUGAACUUAAGCAUAUCAAUAAGCGGAGGA
rnacentral:misc_RNA from 1 species